UGGGGAAUAUUGCACAAUGGGCGCAAGCCUGAUGCAGCCAUGCCGCGUGUAUGAAGAAGGCCUUCGGGUUGUAAAGUACUUUCAGCGAGGAGGAAGGCGUUGUGGUUAAUAACCGCAGCGAUUGACGUUACUCGCAGAAGAAGCACCGGCUAACUCCGUGCCAGCAGCCGCGGUAAUACGGAGGGUGCAAGCGUUAAUCGGAAUUACUGGGCGUAAAGCGCACGCAGGCGGUCUGUCAAGUCGGAUGUGAAAUCCCCGGGCUCAACCUGGGAACUGCAUCCGAAACUGGCAGGCUAGAGUCUUGUAGAGGGGGGUAGAAUUCCAGGUGUAGCGGUGAAAUGCGUAGAGAUCUGGAGGAAUACCGGUGGCGAAGGCGGCCCCCCGGACAAAGACUGACGCUCAGGUGCGAAAGCGUGGGGAGCAAACA
rnacentral:rRNA from 1 species